GAUGAACGCUAGCUACAGGCUUAACACAUGCAAGUCGAGGGGUCUUUUUUAGCUUGCUUUAAAAGACGACCGGCGCACGGGUGAGUAACGCGUAUCCAACCUGCCAUUCAUAUUGGGAUAGCCUUUCGAAAGAGAGAUUAAUACCGAAUAACAUACUGAGUUUGCAUGAAAACAGUACGAAAGCUGAGGCGAUGAAUGAUGGGGAUGCGUUCCAUUAGGUAGUAGGCGGGGUAACGGCCCACCUAGCCAACGAUGGAUAGGGGUUCUGAGAGGAAGGUCCCCCACACUGGAACUGAGACACGGUCCAGACUCCUACGGGAGGCAGCAGUGAGGAAUAUUGGGCAAUGGGGGAAACCCUGACCCAGCAACGCCGCGUGAAGGAAGAAGGCUUUCGGGUUGUAAACUUCUUUUACCAGGGACGAAGGACGUGACGGUACCUGGAGAAAAAGCAACGGCUAACUACGUGCCAGCAGCCGC
rnacentral:rRNA from 1 species